CUGGUUGAUCCUGCCGGACCCUACUGCUAUCGGGGUGGGGCUAAAACAUGCGUGUCGAACGCUUCUAGGCUAUGGUGGAAGCGUGGCAUACGGCUCAGUAACACGUGGCCAAUUCACCCUUGGGACAGAGACAACCCCGGGAAACUGGGGCUAAUCCCUGAUAAGCGAUCAGGCUUGGAAUAGUUGAUCACCCAAAAGCCUCAAGACCAUGCUCAAGAGGUGCCCAAGGACAAAGCCGCGACCGAUCAGGCUGUUGGUAGGGCAACGGCCUACCAAACCUAUAACCGGUACGGGCCGUGAGAGCGGAAGCCCGGAGAUGGAUACUGAGACAAGGAUCCAGGCCCUACGGGGCGCAGCAGUUGCGAAAACUCCACAAUGCACGAAAGUGUGAUGGGGCUACCCCGAGUGCCGUCCGCUGAGGAUGGCUUUUCUCUGCUGUAAGGAGGCAGAGGAAUAAGGAGAGGGCAAGCCUGGUGUCAGCCGCCGCGGUAAUACCAGCUCUCCGAGUGGUGUGGAUGUUUAUUGGGCCUAAAGCAUCCGUAGCUUGCUGAUCAAGUCCCCUGUUAAACCCAACGAAUCAAUCGUUGGAUUGCGGGGGAUACUGCUCGGCUAGGGGACGGGAGAGGCCGACGGUAUUUUCGGGGUAGGGGUGAAAUCCUAUAAUCCCGAGAGGACCACCAGUGGCGAAGGCUGUCGGCUAGAACGCGCCCAACGGUGAGGGAUGAAAGCUGGGGGAGCGAACCGGGUUAGAUACCCGGGUAGUCCCAGCUGUAAACGAUGCAGGCUAGGUGUUUGAGCGGCCACGCGCCGCUCUAGUGCCGCAGGGAAGCUGUUAAGCCUGCCGCCUGGGGAGUACGGUCGCAAGGCUGAAACUUAAAGGAAUUGGCGGGGGAGCA
rnacentral:rRNA from 1 species